rnacentral:lncRNA from 10 species
UCAAAUUCUCGUGCAAAUGAUUUAUUGAGAAAGUGCUCCUGGAGAAACAAGCAAAGUAGGGAGCUGGAAAAGAACAGAGAGUGGGGAAGUAGCCAAGCAAGGACUAUGGAGGGUUCCUUCAGCCUCUCAGGCAAGGGGACCUCUGAAGUGUAUGUUACACAUCAGAAGUGUCCCUUUGCAAUACAGUACAGAGGCACUGAGCUUUCAUCUGGACUCACAGGGCUCUGCUAAAAGUGAAAGGAAAU